rnacentral:lncRNA from 1 species
CACAACCUGUUGAAGGGUUGUCUCUCUGACUGGGUGUCUCUUUGAAGAGCUUUGAAGGAGACUCUCUGACUGAGGGGUGUCACAAACAUCCUUGUAGCUGGUGUGCACAUGCCAGGCUCACCUUGAGGCUGUCGUCCUCAUUCAAGCAAGUUUCACCCUGAUGUACAAGUGAAUCCCCACUGGUGGCCACUUGAUGAAGCGCCACGCUCCCGCACUGUGAUUUUGUGCAAGGCGGCCAGCUGUCUACCCACAUGAACAUAUUCAUCUGUCAGGUGGUCCAAGUCUCUGGCCUUUUUUUUUCUUUCUCCACUUCGCUCCUCUCUGGAGGGUCCAGAGUUACAAGGUUGCUUUAUAUUUCUGCCGUGAAGAAGUGAAAGCCGGUCAUCAAACGCGCUUUCAAACAUGACAUCACGCCCCUCCCACUCGCCCCCAGGGCGGCCAAACUCACUCGGAGUCUGACCUUGAAGGUCAACGCAGUAUUAUUUGUAAAGUGCACAUGUGGAGCUUCGAAGAAAUAAAAUCUUUGGACCCUGUGAAUCUCA